rnacentral:rRNA from 1 species
UAUUUAAUAUAUUACGUUAUUUGAAUGUUGUUGAUUUUUGUUAAUUGAAAUAAUAUAAUGUUGUUGUAUUUUUUGGAGAUAUAAUUUAUUUGGUUAUAGUUUAUUUGUACUGUGAAGGGUAUUAAUUGGUAUUUCAUUAUAAGAAAUUAAUGUUAUUUAUUGUACCUUGUGUCUCAGGGUUUAUUAAAAGAGGUGGAUUUAUUUUCUUGUUCUCGAUUUUGAGAGAUCUAAUGGGAUAUUUUAGUUAUUGUGGUAAUGAUAUUAAUAAUAUUUUGUUGGUAGUGAAAUGUUUUCGUUCUUGAUUGUAUCUGGUUUUUUAUGAAAUGAAUUUAAUUUGGAUAUCAGUUUGUAGUAUGAAUUUAGUUUUUGGGAUUAUAUUUUAGUUGAUAUUAAUACUUUAAGGGAUAAGCUUUGGGGUAUAGUUUCUAUAAAUUUUAUUUUUUAUUUAAGUGGUAUGGAUUUAAUAGUAAUUAUUGUUUUGAGGAUGUUAAAGUUUAAUUUGUUUAUUAAUGUAUUUAGAUUUGUUUUGGAUUUUUUAUUGGGAAUUUUUAUAUAAUUUGUUAUUAAGAGGAAUAAUGAUAGAAUUAGUAUAUUUUGUUAUGUAGUUAACAUAUAAUUGUUGAAUUAAGUAAAGGAACUAGGCAAAAAUAGUGUGUUCGCUUGUUUAUCAAAAACAUCGUUUCUUGUAUUGUUUUGGGAAUAUGACCUGCCCACUGAGAGGAUUGAAGGGCCGCGGUAAUUUGACCGUGCAAAGGUAGCAUAAUCAUUAGUCUUUUAAUUGAAGGCUGGAAUGAAUGGUUGGACGAGAUAUUUACUGUCUUUUUUUUAUUGGUUGAAUUUAAUUAUUAAGUGAGAAAGCUUAAGUGUUUUUAAGGGACGAGAAGACCCUAUAGAGUUUUAUAUUUAUUUAUUUGUUUAUAGUUUGUUUAUAUUGUUAAUUAGGUAAAUAUUUUGUUGGGGUGAUAGUUGGAAAUAUUAAACUCUUUUUUUUUGGGAAUUAUUUAUUUGUAUAAAUUUAGAUCCAUUAUUUGUGAUAGUAAGAUUAAAUUACCUUAGGGAUAACAGCGUAAUCUUUUUUUAGAGUUCUUAUUGAUGAGAAGGAUUGCGACCUCGAUGUUGGAUUAAGAUUAAUAUUAGGUGUAGAGGCUUAAUUAAUAGGUCUGUUCGACCUUUAAAAUCUUACAUGAUCUGAGUUCAAACCGGCGUGAGCCAGGUUGGUUUCUAUCUUUAAUAUAAUUUAAUACUUUAGUACGAAAGGACCAGGUAUUUAGAAUAAUUUUUAUUGAUUGAUUAAUAUUAAAUG